UAUGUUAUGUGAUCGAUGAAUUAAAGAAGAGAGAGACAUUGAACAUAAAAAAAUCAUAGGUUAGGUUUUAUAUAUAUGGGCGAGACUCUCCUUUGCUUUUGCUCUCUCUUCAUCACUGAUUCCCUUAGCUUACGUUCUGUCUCCAUUUUCUUCUCUCUCUCUCUCUCUCAAACUCGUUUGAGAUGAGAACAAGAACAAAUGGGUUCAGAUCGAGAGUUAUGACUAAAUUUGUUUCAGUCACAAACACUGAUCUUCUUUGUUCUUUCAUAUUUCUCUGAUAUGGUUGGAGUUAUGGGAGAUUGGGGUUGAUGGGAAUGUUGUUUGGCUCGAGGUAAAUGCAUGGUCUUAAUUCUUUUCAUCUUUGAAGCUUAAUUUAUGAUAAGGGUUUCAUUCUUUUUGAUCCCUUGAAACAAAGAAAGCUUUAAAGGUUGGAUUUUGAGGCCAUCCCUUUGUGUGAUCUCGGACCAGGCUUCAUUCCCGUUAACCUGAUCUCUCUCAUCAUGAUGAUGAUGAUGCCUUCUGGUGAUUGAUUAAGGUGAUGCCAAAACAAAACUCUUAUGACUGUGUCUGGUCAAUGAUGAAAAGAAAAACCCUUUGGUCUGUGUGCUUUAAUGUUUCAGGCACUGCAUGAGACAAAACUUGAACAUUUGUCAAAUUUUUUGUGGAGCAAGAUUAAAAAAGAUGCACCUUUGACCUUGUUGUAGUUGGUGCACCAACACUAGCUGCUUUUGUUUGUCAUCUUUCUUGUGGCUCCAUGUGUGUAUCUUCAUCUCUUUCAACAUCUCUCUCACAUGAUUUUAAUUUAACCAUUGAGACUAUUGAGAUUUGUGCUUUGUAAAGAAGACCAGGCUCCGAAAUCUUAAUAUAUUAUUGUUUUUCUUGGAUUAUGAUUAGUGAGUGAUUGAUGUUAGCUUUUUGUUAGUUAAAAUAAUAUGGUUUGAGAAACCCAAGGGACUUUGAAAUUCUGUAUUUUGUCAGUAUAGCUGUAGCAUCUUUAGGGUUUGAGAUUCCUAGACAUCUUUUCUUUCUGUCAAGUUUCAGUCCAUGUGUAAGUAGUUGGCUUCAUUUUUUCAGGUGAAUAGAGAGAAGUAGUAGAAGAUGCAUGUGAAGUCAAGAUGAAUGGAUCUGAAACAAAAUGAGGGGCACACAAAUAUUACUGUAUUUUCCUAAUUAUCAUCUAUUUUGACUGAAAUUCAAACCCUUAAUUAACUACGUCAUUAACAUGUAUGGUUGAGUAGAGAAGAUAGAUUCACUCAUUAUUGUCUAGAACUAUACAAAGUGAAGCUACUAUUCUCGUUGUAGUUCACUUAGACUAGAGUGAGUUUUGUGUGAA